rnacentral:rRNA from 1 species
UGCCAGCCGCCGCGGUAAUACGUAGGAUCCAAGCGUUAUCCGGAAUCAUUGGGUUUAAAGGGUCCGUAGGCGGGUUUGUAAGUCAGUGGUGAAAGUUUUCGGCUCAACCGGAAAAUUGCCAUUGAUACUGCAAGUCUUGAAUUAUUGUGAAGUGGUUAGAAUAUGUAGUGUAGCGGUGGAAUGCAUAGAUAUUACAUAGAAUACCGAUUGCGAAGGCAGAUCACUAACAAUAUAUUGACGCUAAGGGACGAAAGCGUGGGUAGCGAACAGGAUUAGAUA